AACAGUCGUCAUUACGAACCCUUAUCAUAAUAGUUGGCGGAGAAUCAACGAUUUUCGGAACCUCGGAGCCCAGGAACUAACUACAACCAGCUACAAGAACACAUGGAAUAACAAGCGACUGCAUCCACGUCUGAUCUCAACACUGGAUUAAGGACCACCAACUCCUGUAAAGACACCAACCAAGGAAGAAAAAGUCUUCAAAAAUUGUAAGUACUACUUUACAUUGUUGAUUUCUUGUCUUUCUUAAUUAUAGUACGGUACAUACUAUAAGGUGUCAUGGCCAAUAUGGAGUCUGGUAUGGAAAGAAACUGUGGAAGUGAAAUUCCAACUGUGUCCUUAGUUACCCCCCUUGCCAAAAGUGUAAUUCAGGUAACAUUUGGCACUGAAACAACAACUUGUUUAAUAGAUACAGGGGCAUCCAUUUGCUGC